rnacentral:rRNA from 1 species
UACAGAGGUCCCAAGCGUUAUUCGGAAUUAUUGGGCGUAAAGGGCGCGUAGGCGGCCUGGCAAGUGGAAGGUGAAAUCCCUCGGCUUAACCGAGGAACUGCCCUCCAAACUGCUUGGCUUGAGUCCGGGAGAGGUGAGUGGAAUUCCCAGUGUAGCGGUGAAAUGCGUAGAUAUUGGGAGGAACACCAGUGGCGAAGGCGGCUCACUGGACCGGAACUGACGCUGAGGCGCGAAAGCGUGGGGAGCAAACGGG